rnacentral:ncRNA from 1 species
UAACUAGAAGGGCAAACCAUUUGAAAGAAUGGGACGCAAAGUCACAGGCCUAAGAACCUCCCGUUUACGGCGGCUGGAUUGCUAUA